GUAUGUUCCGUCGUCGAGUUUCUAUUAUAUUAUUAUUGUUAUAUAUAUAUGUAUAUAUAUAAGGAGCCUGCGAAAAGGAAAAAAAAAAAAAAACUAAAAUAACACUCCGUGACACGCCGCCAAGACCCAAUAACGUCGUCGUCGUUGUCGUCUCCGGGGUUUAUUACCUUCGGAGAGAUCCCGCGUCAUGUCAUAUAUGCAUAUAUAUACGAUAUUUAUAUAUAUAUAUAUAGACGACCCGGAAUCGAUACAAACGGCACGAGCGGCGGGGUGGGGGAGGGGAGAGGGUGAACCCAUCGGAAGAGAGCAGCGAUAUUAUAAAGAGCGGAGAAAAAAAAAAAAAACGAGAAAAAAAAGGAAAACGAAAGGGGAACAACAACAGAGAAAAAAAAAAAAAAAUAAACAAACACGUACACACACGAAUACGAUUUACUGCUCUGCUUUACGCGUGAUGUUUAUAUAUUUAUCGCCUGUUUUACAUAAUAUUAUUAUACGUGUACAUUCCGAAUAAUAACGCUCGGGGACGUUACGGCGAUAAUAUUAGUUUUCCGAUACGAUACGAGAACGCGGCCUCCCCGAGAAAGGGUCGGUGUCCGCGGCGGCAGUGGCGAGUGUAUUAUGUAAAAAAAACAUCGCCGAAAAACCGACCGACUCCUCGCCCUAUCGUAACACACACACACACACACACACAUGCACACAUAUAUUAUAUACACUCGCGUAUUAUACUUACGUUUGUGUUUGCGGUACUUACCCGAUCGCGCUGGCCGUGCCGCCCGGCAUAUCCCGCGCCAAAUGAAAUGCUG